GCCCCUGCCAGUCGCGUCCGCUCCGGGGCCCGCGCCGAGGUCGCGUGGGAGGAGGCAGCCCCUGGCAGGGACCUCGGCCGCUCCACCGGGCGGUCCCCUGCCUGCGCCGCCGCGGAGAGCCCAGCGCUGACAUGCCCCGAGGGGGCGGUGGCUGCGAGCCGAGCCUGAGUAGAAGCGCGUCGCAGCGGACGCGGGCGCCCCUCACCACCUCGGUGACCCUUCGGGAGUCGUGACCGGAUCCCCGGAGGUGGCGGCGCGGGCCCGCGAGGGCGGCGAGGUCCGUGCUUUUAGCGUCCGGAGGGGCCGCUGGCUGCGGACUCGCCCCCUCCUGCCUUUCCCCCCCAGCCCCCCGCGAGCUGGCAGGAGGAAAUAGCGCGCGGCCCCUUUAAAUUUACCCAGGAGCCCUUAAAGGAGCCCCAGGGGCCCCAGACAGGAAUCCCCACCCCGGUCCAGCCCGCGCCGCCGAGCGAGCAGCCAGCCGUCCGUGCGGCCGGCCGCCCAGUGCAUGCGCCCCGCGCCCCGGG
rnacentral:lncRNA from 1 species